rnacentral:rRNA from 1 species
AUGCAAGUCGAGCGGAUGACAGGAGCUUGCUCCUGAAUUCAGCGGCGGNACGGGUGAGUAAUGCCUAGGAAUCUGCCUGGUAGUGGGGGACAACGUUUCGAAAGGAACGCUAAUACCGCAUACGUCCUACGGGAGAAAGCAGGGGACCUUCGGGCCUUGCGCUAUCAGAUGAGCCUAGGUCGGAUUAGCUAGUUGGUGAGGUAAUGGCUCACCAAGGCGACGAUCCGUAACUGGUCUGAGAGGAUGAUCAGUCAC